UUUAAACUUGCUUUGAUGUGUUGUUUUUGUAUGCAUCAUCUCUCGUCAUGAGUAGCUUCACAUAGCCUUGUCAUGCAUCAUAAUUGGUUGAGCAUCAUGCCUUGUUCUUGUGUGGUGUGUUUACCUUAUUGUGUGCUUCUUCUCGAUAGUUCCCGUGUCGUUGCGAUCGUGAGGAUUCGUUCGUCUUCGUGGCUUCAUCUUCUUCAUGGAUUCGUUCUUCUUUCUAGCGGGAUUUCAGGCAAGAUGACCGUCACUUUGGAUCUCAUUACUAUCAUUGCUAUGCUAGUUGCUCCGUUCUAUCGCUAUGAUGCGCUACCUAUUCUUUUGCUCUUCAAGCCUCCCAAAUUGCCAUGAACCUCUAACCCUUGUCACCCUUCCUAACAAACCGUUGUUUGGUUAUGUUACCGCUUUGCUCAGCCCCUCUUAUAGCGUUGUUAGUUGCAGGUGAAGAUGAAGAUUGCUCCAUGUUAGAUUAUGUUUAUGUUGGAAUAUCACAAUAUCUCUUAUAUUAUUAAUGCAUCUAUAUACUUGGUAAAGGGUGGAAGGCUCGGCCUUAUGCCUGGUGUUUUGUUCCACUCUUGCCGCCCUAGUUACCAUCCUACCGGUGUUAUGUUCCUUGAUUUUGCGUUCCUUACACGGUUGGGUGAUUUAUGGGACCCCUUUGACAGUUCGCCUUGAAUAAAACUCUUCCAGCAAGGCCCAACCUUGGUUUUACCAUUUGCCUAGCCUAUUUCUUUUCCCUAGGGAGUCGCUCUCUCGAGGGUCAUCUUAUUUUACCCCCCGGGCCAGUGCUUCUCCAAGUGUUAGUCCAAUCCGAGCGAUGUCCGGCGCCCCCUGGGCAACCAGGGUCUAUGCCAACCCGACGUCUGGCUCAUCCGGUGUGCCCUGAGAACGAGAUAUGUGCAGCUCCUAUCGGGAUUUGUCGGCACAUCCGGGCGGCUUUGCUGGUUUUGUUUUACCAUCGUCGAAAUGUCUUGUAACCGGGAUUCCGAGACUGAUCGGGUCUUCCCGGGAGAAGGAAUAUCCUUCGUUGACCGUGAGAGCUUAUAAUGGGCUAAGUUGGGACACCCCUGCAGGGUAUUAUCUUUCGAAAGCCGUGCCCGCGGUUAUGUGGCAGAUGGGAAUUUGUUAAUAUCCGGUUGUAGAGAACUUGACACUGGACCUUAAUUAAAACGCAUCAACCGCAUGUGUAGCCGCGAUGGUCUCUUCUUGGCGGAGUCCGGGAAGUGAACACGGUUUCUGGGUUAUGUUUGACGUAAGUAGGAGUUCAGGAUCACUUCUUGAUCAUUACUAGUUGACGACCGUUCCUUUGCUUCUCUUCUCGCUCUCAUUCGCGUAAGUUAGCCACCAUACAUGCUUAGUCGCUGCUGCAACCCCACCACUUAUCCUUUCCUUUCCCGUUAAGCUUUGCUAGUCUUGAUACCCAUGGUAAUGGGAUUGCUGAGUCCUCGUGGCUCACAGAUUACUACAACACCAGUUGCAGGUACAGGUUUUGCGAUGAUCAUGACGCGAGAGCGAUGUUUACUUGUCUUGGAGUUCUUCUUCUGCUUCUUCUUCGAUCUGGGGAUAGGUUCCAGGUCGGCAGCCUGGGCUAGCAGGGUGGAUGUCGUUGGAGUUUCUGUUUGUGUUCCAUCCGUAGUCGGGUGUUGAUCUUAUGUAUGAUGUAUUGAUGUAUUCUUGCGGCUUUUGUAUGUCUUGUAUGUAUCCCCAAAUAUAUUAUGUAAUGUUGAUGUAAUGAUAUCCACCUUGCAAAAGCGUCUUCAAGAUGCGCUUCUAUCCUUGGUGGGACCUUCGUGUUCCUUUAGGAUAGGGUCGCAUCUUGGGCGUGACAAUACUGCUAGGUAGUUGGCGGUUGCAACAGACGGAGUUGCAUAUAAUCUACUAGACAGUUGGCCAGGGCACCAGACAAAGUUGCACAUUGUUGGCUAGACAGUUGGCCAAGGCAAUAGACAAAGCUUCAC
rnacentral:lncRNA from 1 species